GUUGCUUCUGCCUUGGAGGUUUUGAAAGUCGUUGAGAAGAAGCGACCUGAGUUAAAACUCGAGUUUGAAGAACACAAGAUUGAAGGUGCCUCUAUUGAUGCCUAUGGAACCCCUUUGACUGACGAGACUGUGAAGGCUUGUUUGGAAGCUGACGGUGUUCUUUUGGGUGCCGUUGGUGGUCCUGAAUGGACCAACCCCAAUUGUCGUCCUGAGCAAGGUUUAUUGAAGCUUCGUAAGAGUAUGGGUGUUUGGGCCAACCUUCGACCUUGCAACUUUGCCAGCAAGUCUUUAGUCAAGUACAGCCCUUUGAAGCCUGAAAUCGUUGAAGGUGUCGAUUUUUGUGUUGUACGAGAACUUACUGGAGGUUGUUACUUUGGUGAGCGCACUGAGGACAACGGAUCGGGUUAUGCUAUGGACACUUGGCCUUACAGUUUGGAAGAAGUUUCUCGUAUUGCUCGUUUGGCUGCUUGGUUAGCUGAAACUUCCAACCCUCCUGCUCCCGUCACAUUACUCGACAAAGCUAAUGUUUUGGCAACUUCUCGUCUUUGGCGCAAGACUGUAGCUAAGAUUUUUAAGGAGGAAUAUCCUCACCUUACCUUAAAAACCAGCUCAUUGACUCCGCAGCCAUGCUUUUGGUCAAGAGCCCUCGUACACUUAACGGUGNUGNUUUGACUGACAACUUGNUUGGUGACAUUAUUUUCAGAUGAGGCUUCUGNCAUUCCUGGNAGCUUGGGNCUUUUGCCUUCUGCCCCCCUUUCCGGNGNGGNAGGAAAAUCAGAAAAAANGGUNNUUGNUUGGGUGANCCCAUUCACGGNAGCGCUCCCGAAAUCGCUGGCANGGCAUUGU
rnacentral:sRNA from 1 species